GGGGGUGUAUUUAAGAAGUUGAGCACUACUCCCAGGACACUGCCUGUCUUUUCCCUCCAAUUCAUUCUAACGUCUGCGGCGGUUUUCGGACGACUAGGGUGAAGGGAGGACAGUAUUAAUACCACAAAACUCGACAGUGAAUGAGCUACCUACGCCCAGAGAUAAGAUAUCUUUCUCGGGAUUGGUCGAAAUUGAAGGCACUUCUAGGGUUUCUGGUCAAAAGGUUAAACAUUGUUCAAGCUGCGAAAAAGUUAGCAUCUUGGUGGAACUCUUAAAAGAACAUCAUCUUGGUGGAAGCAGUCAUUGUAGGAUCCACAAGGGCUGAAUCUGUGUGGUAAAAGUAGAGGCCCUGACAGAAAAAGGAAGCAGGUCUGUGAGUGGAGACAGUUAUGGCCUUGGUAGAAGCAGUUAAAGUAGUGCCUCUAGCGGUUCUAGAUAAGGAUGAGGAAGUUGAAUUUGUCUGGGGUAGAAAGAGAGGUAUUGGUGGUAAGAGAAAGGAGGUGCAAUUUUAUGAAUCUUUUACCUAUGAUGGUGUGGAGUAUGCUCUAUAUGACUGUGUAUACAUGCACAAGGAAGGUGAACUUCCUUACAUUGGUAAGAUCAUAAAGAUAUGGGAAAAUCCAGACAAGUCUAGGAAGAUAAAGAUCCACUGGUUUUUUCGGUCAACAGAGAUCUUGUAUCACCUGAAAGAUGUAAAGGUAGCUGAGAAUGAAGUAUUUCUUGCCUCUGGUGAAGGCACUGGUUUGGCCAAUGUUAAUCCUUUGGAAGCUAUUGCUGGCAAAUGCAAUGUUAUCUGCAUUUCAGAGGACAACAGAAAUCCACAACCAUCAGAUGAAGAAGUUAAAAUGGCUGACUAUGUUUUCUACCGUGCUUUUGAUGUUGGAAAUUGUACAAUUUUGGAUAAGAUGGUUGACAAAGUUGGUGGGCUGGAUGUCAAGUAUGUUUUUAACAGGAAAGAGAGUGAAAAGGCCAGUCAUGUCCUCAAACUUGAUUCUGACAAGAAAGAUGACAAAACUGCCGUGGAAUAUCGAGCUAAUGGGGAGUCCUUUGGGCUAAAACCACAGAAGUAUCUUGGAACUGCCAAAGUGAGUCAUUUACUUGGAAAAAGUGAUGUAGAUGGACAAAGUUCUCCUCUGGUUAGACAGGAUGCUUCACAGAGAGAUACAAAUGUUUCACGUGUUAAUCAGGAAACUGCUAAGAAAGGGAAUUCUGUCCCUGGUGAGAAAAACUCGCAUGAUUUGGGAGUUGCAAAAGCUGCUGGUAAAUCAAGUCAUUUAGUGGGAAGAAGUGAUGUAGAUGCGCAAAGUUCACCGAUUAGAGAGGAUGCCUUACAUGGAGAUGCAAAUGAUUCUCACAUUGAGCAGCAAUCAACAAUGAAAGGAAAUGCCACACCAGUUCUGGUUGUUAACAGCAGAAUAGCCACUACAGUUGUUCACAACCAAAAUACUUUAAGUGAAGAAAAUGCACUCUGCACAGUUAAGAAUGAUAAAAAAGUUAAUAAGCUUUCAAUAGAACUCGUAGAAGCUGGUGAAAGAGGAAAACCUUCGAAGGAUCUUGGCAUUUUGGAUAGUAGGCCUUCAAAACGAAUAAAAGUAAAUGGUUCUGUGAAACUAUCAGAGGACAAGGGUGGGGACAGUGUACAGAAGUCCACUGUUUGCAGAAAUGACAAAGAGGUUAUGGGGACAGGUGCUACUCCUUCUGAAGAAAGAAAGAAAUCUGGAGAUAGCAAGCUUUCUGGUGGACUGGACAAGAACAUGCAGAGCAGAAAAGAUGGUGCUGCCUUGGAUAUCAGACCUCCAAAGAAGGCAAACAUCGACUCUCUUAAAGUAAAAGAGGAUAGAGAUAGAAGUAACAUGUCAAUAGGUAAGCCUGUUGACAAUAUAGGCAAGUUGCCUAAAUUAUCUGCUGGAAUAUCCCCCAAGGAAGUUGAGAGAAUGGGAGGCAAGAGCUUCAUAAUCACUCGGAGACCUGUUGCAGAGUCGAGCAAGUGGUUCAAGGCACCUCCAUGGGAGGAGGUGAUGCAAACAUCAAAUGAGCAAGGGACCCUUAUCUUACUAGAAAAUUUGAAUCCUGAAUAUACAUCAGGAGAGGUGGAGGAUAUUAUCUGGCAUGCAUGUAGGGAAAACUGCACAGCCAAAAUGGUUCAGCGUACUGCUUUCUCUAGUCCAUACUCUGGUAGAGCGUUAGUUGCAUUCAAAACAAGAGAAGCAGCAGAAAGGGUCAGUAAAAUGUUGGCUGAUGGAUGCUUAAUGCUGUCAAAUCAGAGGCCGCUUGUUGCUAGCUUUGUAACUCUUCCGAAAAUGGAAGGAAACACUCCAUCAUUUGCUGGGCAUCUAUGUGUUGACAAACUAAGACUACAAUUGCAGCGGGAAAUGAAAGAAGCAGUUUCUACUUCUCAUUGUUCUCAAGGCAACACCAUAGAGGAUGAAAUGGGCAUUGAGUGGCGCUUACUGCAAUCAAGAUCUGACAGCUGGUGGAAUCGGCUAUAUAAGCAACAAAAAGAGGAACUAAGAAAAACAGUGUCAGAACUCAAGAGAAAAUGAGAAGCAAGCUGCAGUUUUGUACAUAGUGUACUUGUGCAUAGGAUAUGCAAAAUGUUAUGGAGGUUGCGAUAUAUGAACUUGAAGGUUGUCACAUCAUGAUGGCACCACUUCAAACAUUAUCUCAUCUGAAUAUUAUCUACAUAUGAAGAGAAGAGGCAGUGUUUGUCCAUGAAACAAGCAUUCCAGAUGAAAGUGAUUGAUCUUUGAAGAAUAAAAUGUGGUGACCAAAACGAUAAAAAGCUCUCUGUUGUAAAAAUGGAUAGUUCAGUGACUAUGGGUCAAGAGUGACAUCAAUAUGUAGGAUCAGCUGUUUGUAGGAAGGAGAAUGUCAAUAGAGGAUUCAUGUACAGAUUUCUGACUUCUUGGACCUGACUUCUGAUAAUGGUGUUCUUCCAAUAAGUUCCAUUGGAUUUAUGCAAGAUUUUUGUUCGAUUGACACAUCUGAGGGUUCGGGAUAGAUGACUACUUGACACUCAAUCCUCCAAGCGUCUUGGCAAUUUUUGUAUGUACCCUAAUACUCCCUACCUUCCCUGGGGACCCCAACCUCAUAGUUUGGAGCAAUUGGUUAAUGUCAAAGUCACAAAGUUUAGCUUGCAGCGAUAUGCAUAUUUUUAUCAGAAUUUUUGCUCCAUGGCAUAAUCUUUUGUUCAAAAUAUCUUUAGAAAUUGAAAAUAGAAUCUCUUAUCUUUGGUUCUGAAUUAGGGUCGACAAAUGGAACUAAACAUGUUCCCGUUAAACGAGCAUUGGAUUCAUUUCUUUAUUGCUAAAAUCUUGGCAAAUGGUAUUUUGUUUGAA